rnacentral:rRNA from 1 species
AUUAGCUAGUAGGUGGGGUAACGGCUCACCUAGGCGACGAUCCCUAGCUGGUCUGAGAGGAUGACCAGCCACACUGGAACUGAGACACGGUCCAGACUCCUACGGGAGGCAGCAGUGGGGAAUAUUGCACAAUGGGCGCAAGCCUGAUGCAGCCAUGCCGCGUGUAUGAAGAAGGCCUUCGGGUUGUAAAGUACUUUCAGCGGGGAGGAAGGGAGUAAAGUUAAUAC